GUAAACGGCGGCCGUAACUAUAACGGUCCUAAGGUAGCGAAAUUCCUUGUCGGGUAAGUUCCGACCUGCACGAAUGGCGUAACGAUCUCCACACUGUCUCGGCCAGAGACUCGGUGAAAUUGCAGUCGCGGUGAAAAUUCCGUGUACCCGCAGAAAGACGGAAAGACCCUGUGCACCUUUACUAUAGCUUGACAUUGGAUUUUGGGCCUGCAUGUGUAGGAUAGGUGGGAGGCUGUGAACCCUGUACGCCAGUAUGGGGGGAGCCAUCCUUGAAAUACCACCCUUGCAUGUUUAAGAUCCUAACUUCUUCCGGUUAUCCCGGAGAAAGACAGUGUCUGGCGGGUAGUUUGACUGGGGCGGUCGCCUCCUAAAGUGUAACGGAGGCAUGCAAAGGUUCCCUCAGCCUGAUCGGAAACCAGGCGCUGAGUGCAAACGCAUAAGGGAGCUUGACUGUAAGAGAGACAUCUCGAACAGGAACGAAAGUUGGCGUUAGUGAUCCGGUGGUCCCGUAUGGAAGGGCCAUCGCUCAUUGGAUAAAAGGUACGCCGGGGAUAACAGGCUGAUCGCAUCCAAGAGUUCACAUCGACGAUGCGGUUUGGCACCUCGAUGUCGGCUCAUCACAUCCUGGGGCUGAAGCAGGUCCCAAGGGUACGGCUGUUCGCCGUUUAAAGUGGUACGCGAGCUGGGUUUAAAACGUCGUGAGACAGUUUGGUCCCUAUCUUCUGUGGGCGAAGGAGAAUUGAGAGGGCCUGUCCCUAGUACGAGAGGACCGGGAUGGACGCACCCCUGGUGAUCCUGUUGUCGCGCCAGCGGCAUAGCAGGGUAGCUAUGUGCGGAAGGGAUAACCGCUGAAAGCAUCUAAGCGGGAAGCCUGCCUCAAGAUAAGUUCUCCCCUCGAAAGAGCUGAAGGGCCCGGGUAGACUACCCGGUCGAUAGGCUGGAGGUGUAAGCGCGGCGACGUGCUCAGCUGACCAGUACUAAUAGCCCGAGCGGCUUAUUUUU
rnacentral:rRNA from 1 species